rnacentral:rRNA from 1 species
UACAGAGGAGCCAAGCGUUGUCCGGAUUGACUGGGCGUAAAGCGCACGCAGGCGGACGCGCGCGUGGGGUGUGAAAUCUGGCCGCUUAACGGCCAGGCGCCAUCCCAUACGGCGCGUCUGGAGUGAUGCAGAGGUCGGUGGAAUUGCCGGUGUAGUGGUGAAUGCGCAGAUAUCAGGAGGAACACCGUGGCGAAGGCGAUCCUGAACU